UACGUAGGGGGCAAGCGUUGUCCGGAUUUAUUGGGCGUAAAGAGCGUGUAGGCGGCCAGGUAGGUCAGCUGUGAAAACUCGAGGCUCAACCUCGAGACGUCGGUUGAAACCACCUGGCUAGAGUCCGGAAGAGGAGAGUGGAAUUCCUGGUGUAGCGGUGAAAUGCGCAGAUAUCAGGAAGAACACCAAUGGCGAAAGCAGCUCUCUGGGACGGUACUGACGCUGAGACGCGAAAGCUAGGGGAGCGAACGGG
rnacentral:rRNA from 1 species